rnacentral:lncRNA from 1 species
AGUUUGUAGUUGUCUCAUUAAUUUUUUUAAUAAAAUACAUGUGUACAUGAAUAAAUAAUGCAUGUAUAUAUUUGUCCCACCUCGUUUUGUAAGUAUAGAGUAUUGUGAUAAAUACUAAUUAGAUGUACAUAAUGAUGUAUAAAGCUAAAAUCUAUCUUAUUAGGAUUCUAAUUGUAUCAAAACAACAAUCCUAAAAUAAAGCUGCAAAUUUGGUGAAGAUGUAGCUGCUUCUAGCUCAAUCAUAGGGAACAAAGCUCGUAGGUUCUAUAAGCUGAAUUGUUUUAUAUCUUGUGUGAGACAUGUGCAGAUUUUUCUAAUCUGCACACCAAAGUCACGUCUAUUAUUGAUAGGUGUAUUGAAGAGAUGAGAGGACAAUGUCUAAUCACUGUUAGACAUUAAUUUGAGAUUGAAGGCAAAACCGUGUGCUUAUUUUCUUAUGAGCAGCUUGAAGCUUCUAUCUCUCCCACUCAAGAGGCUGUAACUUAUCUUCUUCCAGUUUGUAGAGAGUUGAUUGGAGGCAUUUUUGAGAUUAAACUUCUUUUGAAGAAGAAAAUGGUGAUGUGGUUGUUAAGGUAUGAUCUGAAUUAUGGUGUGAGAGUUGAUGUUGAUUUUCUGGGUUUCGUCAAAUGAACAUAAAUGGCGUCAAACUAUUUUGUAAACCAGUGAGCAUAGUUUACAGAUGCUUUUCUUGUCGAAACUUGAACUGAAAAUUCUAGAUUUUCUUGUUAUCAUCUUUGAAGUCACGUGCUAACCUGUUAGUAAAGUGGAUAUUCACUUAGAUAUUGUAGUUUGAUCCCAUUUAAAAAGGGUAGAAGAUUUUAUAUGGAUUUUAGAUUUUGGAGAGAUUUUGAAAGAAAUAUAAUG